GACGAACGCUGGCGGCGUGCUUAACACAUGCAAGUCGAACGGAAAGGCCCUGCUGCUGUGGGGUGCUCGAGUGGCGAACGGGUGAGUAACACGUGAGUAACCUGCCCUUGACUUUGGGAUAACUUCAGGAAACUGGGGCUAAUACCGGAUAGGAGCUCCUGCCGCAUGGUGGGGGUUGGAAAGUUUCGGCGGUUGGGGAUGGACUCGCGGCUUAUCAGCUUGUUGGUGGGGUAGUGGCUUACCAAGGCUUUGACGGGUAGCCGGCCUGAGAGGGUGACCGGCCACAUUGGGACUGAGAUGCUGCCCAGACUCCUACGGGAGGCAGCAGUGGGGAAUAUUGCACGAUGGGCGGAAGCCUGAUGCAGCAACGCCGCGUGCGGGAUGACGGCCUUCGGGUUGUAGACCGCUUUCGCCUGUGACGAAGCGUGAGUGGCGGUAAUGGGUAGAGAAGCACCGGCUAACUACGUG
rnacentral:rRNA from 1 species